rnacentral:pre_miRNA from 1 species
CGUGAUCUACCCUGUAGAUCCGGGCUUUCGUAAAAAACAAAUCGAAAGCUCGUCUCUACAGGUAUAUCACGG